rnacentral:rRNA from 1 species
GACGAACGCUGGCGGCGUGCUUAACACAUGCAAGUCGAACGCUGAAGCCCAGCUUUUGUUGGGUGGAUGAGUGGCGAACGGGUGAGUAACACGUGAGUAACCUGCCUCCUUCUUUGGGAUAACGCCCGGAAACGGGUGCUAAUACUGGAUAUUCACUGGUCUUCGCAUGGGGGUUGGUGGAAAGGGUUUUUCUGGUGGGGGAUGGGCUCGCGGCCUAUCAGCUUGUUGGUGGGGUGAUGGCCUACCAAGGCUUUGACGGGUAGCCGGCCUGAGAGGGUGACCGGUCACAUUGGGACUGAGAUACGGCCCAGACUCCUACGCGAGGCAGCAGUGGGGAAUAUUGCACAAUGGGCGAAAGCCUGAUGCAGCGAAGACGCGUGAGGGAUGGAGGCCUUCGGGUUGUGAACCUCUUUCGCUCAUGGUCAAGCCGCAACAAUGGUUGUGGUGAGGGUAGUGGGUAAAGAAGCGCCGGCUAACUACGUG